rnacentral:lncRNA from 1 species
CAAAAUCCUAACUCGACACCCCCCACCUACUGUCGCCAUUUUAUAAAUUUGCGACUUCAUAUAAACUGCCUAGACUAGACUACAGCGCCAGAUAAAAUUCUAUAGCCAAAAUUUGAGUAAACAAUCUGGAAUUAUAACUCUAAUAAUACGAGCUAUUCUAUUGUACAAGGAAAAGUGGCAUUACCUUGAUAGUUGGUCCGGAGUAAAAUGGAAUCCGACAUUAAUAUAGAAAUGAAUUAUAUUAGAUUAGCUCCGUUCGUUGCGCUUUGAGAGGAGGGGGUGGGUCCUCGCCUCAGAUGAACCCGGUGAACUGGCGUGAACCCGUCAGUCAGUGAACACAGCAAGGUAGGCUACAUUACCUCUCCUCGCACACUGUAUGGACAGAAAACAACUAUGGUCGGCGGCUGGACGACGCAGACAAAAAAUUAUACGUAGUGUAGCCUAUUUCCUAUGAACACGUGAUUCAAAGCGUCACCCAAAAUCCUAAACCCUUUCAUCUAAAUGUUGGAGAGGGGCGGGGGUCGGACGGUGAAUGUAUACGCGAGAGAUGCGCUCGGAACAAAGCAAAAGUAUUGGAGACGAACAACGAUCGGUCAGUUUUGAACAGUAGCCUACUGAAAAUAGAAUUUGGCAGUACGUCCAUCCGGCAUCACAACCGCAGACCACGUGUUAACACGCCAGCCCAGGACCUCCACAUCUGGCUUCUUUACCUGUGGGAUCCUCUGAGAGGGGAGUAGGAGUGGUGCUAAGGGGUAUUUCUGUCUGUAAAAAAAAACACUUUUAUGGGGAAAAACUCAUUCUGAUUGGCUGGGCCUGGCUCUCCAGUAGGUGGGCCUGGCUGCCAAGUGGGUGGGCUUAUGCCCUCCCAACCCACCCAGCUGCAUCCCUGCCCAGUCAUGUGAAAUCCGUAGAUUAGGACCUAAUUAAUUAAUUUCAAUUGGCUGACUUCCUUAUAUGAACUGUAACUCAGUCAAAUCUUUGAAAUUGUUGCAUGCUAUGUUUAUAUUUUUGUUCAGUAUAUUUAAUUCGUUUUGGGGGGGGGGUAUCUGUACUUUACUAUUUAUAUUUUUGAUUACUUUUACUCCACUACAUUCCUAAAGCGAAUAUGUACAUUUUACUCCAAAAUGCUCAGGCAGGACAGUAAAUUGGUCCAAUUCACACACCUAACAAUAUUCUGUAUACAUCUGGCCCUUCUUUGGACACUGUGUUAACAAACCUUCAAACGAGCUUCAAUGCCAUACAACACUCCUUCUGUGGCCUCCAACUGCUUUUAAAUACUAGUAAAACUAAAUUCAUGCUCUUCAACCGAUUGCUGCCCGCACCCACCUGCCCGACUAGCAUCACUACUCUGGACGGUUCUGACUUAGAAUAUGUGGACAACUACAAAUACCUAGGUGUCUGGUUAGACUGUAAACUCUCCUUCCAGACUCACAUUAAGCAUCUCCAAUCCAAAAUUAAAUCUAAAAUUGGCUUCCUAUUUCGCAACAACGCCUCCUUCACUCAUGCUGCCAAACAUCCCCUCGUAAAACUGACUAUCCUACCGAUCCUUGACUUCGGCGAUGUCAUUUACAAAAUAGCCUCCAACACUACUCAGCAAAUUGGAUGUAGUCUAUCACAGUGCCAUCC